rnacentral:rRNA from 1 species
CUAUCGUUAACUGAAUACAUAGGUUAACGAGGCGAACCGGGGGAACUGAAACAUCUAAGUACCCCGAGGAAAAGAAAUCAACCGAGAUUCCCCCAGUAGCGGCGAGCGAACGGGGAGCAGCCCAGAGUCUGAAUCAGCUUGUGUGUUAGUGGAACGGUCUGGAAAGUCCGACGGUACAGGGUGAUAGUCCCGUACACCAAAAUGCACAGGUUGUGAACUCGAAGAGUAGGGCGGGACACGUGGUAUCCUGUCUGAAUAUGGGGGGACCAUCCUCCAAGGCUAAAUACUCCUGACUGACCGAUAGUGAACCAGUACCGUGAGGGAAAGGCGAAAAGAACCCCGGCGAGGGGAGUGAAAAAGAACCUGAAACCGUGUACGUACAAGCAGUGGGAGCACCUUCGGGUGUGACUGCGUACCUUUUGUAUAAUGGGUCAGCGACUUAUAUUCUGUAGCAAGGUUAACCGUAUAGGGGAGCCGCAGGGAAACCGAGUCUUAACUGGGCGUUAAGUUGCAGGGUAUAGACCCGAAACCCGGUGAUCUAGCCAUGGGCAGGUUGAAGGUUGGGUAACACUAACUGGAGGACCGAACCGACUAAUGUUGAAAAAUUAGCGGAUGACUUGUGGCUGGGGGUGAAAGGCCAAUCAAACCGGGAGAUAGCUGGUUCUCCCCGAAAGCUAUUUAGGUAGCGCCUCGUGAACUCAUCUUCGGGGGUAGAGCACUGUUUCGGCUAGGGGGUCAUCCCGACUUACCAACCCGAUGCAAACUACGAAUACCGAAGAAUGUUAUCACGGGAGACACACGGCGGGUGCUAACGUCCGUCGUGAAGAGGGAAACAACCCAGACCGCCAGCUAAGGUCCCAAAGUCAUGGUUAAGUGGGAAACGAUGUGGGAAGGCACAGACAGCCAGGAUGUUGGCUUAGAAGCAGCCAUCAUUUAAAGAAAGCGUAAUAGCUCACUGGUCGAGUCGGCCUGCGCGGAAGAUGUAACGGGGCUAAACCAUGCACCGAAGCUGCGGCAGCGACACUAUGUGUUGUUGGGUAGGGGAGCGUUCUGUAAGCCUGCGAAGGUGUGCUGUGAGGCAUGCUGGAGGUAUCAGAAGUGCGAAUGCUGACAUAAGUAACGAUAAAGCGGGUGAAAAGCCCGCUCGCCGGAAGACCAAGGGUUCCUGUCCAACGUUAAUCGGGGCAGGGUGAGUCGACCCCUAAGGCGAGGCCGAAAGGCGUAGUCGAUGGGAAACAGGUUAAUAUUCCUGUACUUGGUGUUACUGCGAAGGGGGGACGGAGAAGGCUAUGUUAGCCGGGCGACGGUUGUCCCGGUUUAAGCAUGUAGGCUGGUUAUCCAGGCAAAUCCGGAUAAUCAAGGCUGAGGUGUGAUGACGAGGCACUACGGUGCUGAAGUAACAAAUGCCCUGCUUCCAGGAAAAGCCUCUAAGCAUCAGGUAACAUCAAAUCGUACCCCAAACCGACACAGGUGGUCAGGUAGAGAAUACCAAGGCGCUUGAGAGAACUCGGGUGAAGGAACUAGGCAAAAUGGUGCCGUAACUUCGGGAGAAGGCACGCUGGUGUGUAGGUGAAGUCCCUGCGGAUGGAGCUGAGACCAGUCGAAGAUACCAGCUGGCUGCAACUGUUUAUUAAAAACACAGCACUGUGCAAACACGAAAGUGGACGUAUACGGUGUGACGCCUGCCCGGUGCCGGAAGGUUAAUUGAUGGGGUUAUCCGUAAGGAGAAGCUCUUGAUCGAAGCCCCGGUAAACGGCGGCCGUAACUAUAACGGUCCUAAGGUAGCGAAAUUCCUUGUCGGGUAAGUUCCGACCUGCACGAAUGGCGUAAUGAUGGCCAGGCUGUCUCCACCCGAGACUCAGUGAAAUUGAACUCGCUGUGAAGAUGCAGUGUACCCGCGGCAAGACGGAAAGACCCCGUGAACCUUUACUAUAGCUUGACACUGAACAUUGAGCCUUGAUGUGUAGGAUAGGUGGGAGGCUUUGAAGCGUGGACGCCAGUCUGCGUGGAGCCAACCUUGAAAUACCACCCUUUAAUGUUUGAUGUUCUAACGUUGGCCCCUGACCGGGGUUGCGGACAGUGUCUGGUGGGUAGUUUGACUGGGGCGGUCUCCUCCCAAAGCGUAACGGAGGAGCACGAAGGUUAGCUAAUCCUGGUCGGACAUCAGGAGGUUAGUGCAAUGGCAUAAGCUAGCUUGACUGCGAGCGUGACGGCGCGAGCAGGUGCGAAAGCAGGUCAUAGUGAUCCGGUGGUUCUGAAUGGAAGGGCCAUCGCUCAACGGAUAAAAGGUACUCCGGGGAUAACAGGCUGAUACCGCCCAAGAGUUCAUAUCGACGGCGGUGUUUGGCACCUCGAUGUCGGCUCAUCACAUCCUGGGGCUGAAGUAGGUCCCAAGGGUAUGGCUGUUCGCCAUUUAAAGUGGUACGCGAGCUGGGUUUAGAACGUCGUGAGACAGUUCGGUCCCUAUCUGCCGUGGGCGCUGGAGAAUUGAGGGGGGCUGCUCCUAGUACGAGAGGACCGGAGUGGACGCAUCACUGGUGUUCGGGUUGUCAUGCCAAUGGCACUGCCCGGUAGCUAAAUGCGGAAGAGAUAAGUGCUGAAAGCAUCUAAGCACGAAACUUGCCCCGAGAUGAGUUCUCCCUGAGACUUUAAGUCUCCUGAAGGAACGUUAAAGACGAUGACGUUGAUAGGCCGGGUGUGUAAGCGCAGCGAUGCGUUGAGCUAACCGGUACUAAUGAACCGUGAGGCUUAACCUU